rnacentral:rRNA from 1 species
GACGAAGGAUGCAAGCGUUAUCCGGAUUCAUUGGGUUUAAAGGGUGCGUAGGCGGCCCGGUAAGUCAGUGGUGAAAUCUCCUUGCUUAACAAGGAAACUGCCAUUGAUGCUGCUGGGCUUGAGUACAGAUGCUGUGGGCGGAAUAUGACAUGUAGUGGUGAAAUACAUAGAGAUGUCAUAGAACACCGAUUGCGAAGGCAGCUCACAAAACUGUAACUGACGCUGAGGCACGAAAGUGCGGGGAUCAAACAGG